rnacentral:ncRNA from 2 species
AUAUUCCACUAGGGGAGCCUUAUUGGCUGAGAGGAAACUUUAUGUUUCGACCCUUCAACCUGAACUAGGUAAUUCUAGCGUAGGGAAUGUGGGUAGCUUUAACA